rnacentral:piRNA from 1 species
UUGGAAUGGUAAUGUAUAUAUUGUGU